GCUUGUCUCAAAGAUUAAGCCAUGCAUGUGUUAGUAUAAACGCCUUUAUACUGUGAAACUGCGAACGGCUCAUUAUAUCAGUUAUAGUUUAUUUGAUACUUUUCGACUAUUGGAUAACCGUACCAAUUUUGGUGACUCUGGAUAACUUCACGCCGAUCGCACGGCCUUCGCGCCGGCGACGUAUCUUUCAAAUGUCUGCCUUAUCAACUGUCGAUGGUAGGUUACGCGCCUACCAUGGUUGCAACGGGUAACGGGGAAUCGGGGUUCGAUUCCGGAGAGGGAGCCUGAGAAACGGCUACCACAUCCAAGGAAGGCAGCAGG
rnacentral:rRNA from 1 species